rnacentral:rRNA from 1 species
UACGAAGGGGGCUAGCGUUGCUCGGAAUCACUGGGCGUAAAGCGCACGUAGGCGGAUUGUUAAGUCAGGGGUGAAAUCCUGGAGCUCAACUCCAGAACUGCCUUUGAUACUGGAGAGCUUGAGUCCGGAAGAGGUGAGUGGAACUCCGAGUGUAGAGGUGAAAUUCGUAGAUAUUCGGAAGAACACCAGUGGCGAAGGCGGCUCACUGGUCCGGUACUGACGCUGAUGUGCGAAAGCGUGGGGGAGCAAACAGG